rnacentral:rRNA from 1 species
UACGUAGGGGGCUAGCGUUGUCCGGAUUUAUUGGGCGUAAAGAGCGCGUAGGCGGCCGAGUAAGUCCGGCGUGAAAUCUGGAGGCUCAACCUCCAGCGGUCGUUGGAAACUACUCGGCUAGAGUCCGGAAGAGGAGAGUGGAAUUCCUGGUGUAGCGGUGAAAUGCGCAGAUAUCAGGAAGAACACCGAUGGCGAAAGCAGCUCUCUGGGACGGUACUGACGCUGAGGCGCGAAAGCGUGGGGAGCGAACAGG